rnacentral:rRNA from 1 species
GUCCACGCCGUAAACGAUUGGUGCUAGGUGUGGGGGGUGUCGACUCCCCCCGUGCCGAAGCUAACGCAUUAAGCACCCCGCCUGGGGAGUACGGCCGCAAGGCUAAAACUCAAAGGAAUUGACGGGGGCCCGCACAAGCAGCUGAGCAUGUGGUUUAAUUCGACGCAACGCGAAGAACCUUACCAAGGCUUGACAUGGACUUGAAAAACGUGGAAACACGUUCCCUCUUCGGAGCAAGUUCACAGGUGGUGCAUGGCUGUCGU